UACGGGGGGGGCAAGCGUUGUUCGGAAUUACUGGGCGUAAAGGGCUCGUAGGCGGCCAACUAAGUCGGACGUGAAAUCCCCAGGCUCAACCUGGGAACUGCGUCCGAUACUGGAUGGCUUGAAUUCGGGAGAGGGAUGCAGAAUUCCAGGUGUAGCGGUGAAAUGCGUAGAUAUCGGGAGGAACACCGGUGGCGAAGGCGGUUCUCUGGGCAUGUUCUGACGCUGAGGAGCGAAAGCGUGGGGAGCAAACAGG
rnacentral:rRNA from 1 species